AUUGAACGCUGGCGGCAGGCCUAACACAUGCAAGUCGAGCGGAUGAAGAGAGCUUGCUCUCUGAUUUAGCGGCGGACGGGUGAGUAAUGCCUAGGAAUCUGCCUGGUAGUGGGGGAUAACGUUCCGAAAGGAACGCUAAUACCGCAUACGUCCUACGGGAUAAAGCAGGUGACCUUGGGGCCUUGCGCUAUCAGAUGAGCCUAGGUCGGAUUAGCUAUUUGGUGAGGUAAUGGCUCACCAAGGCGACGAUCCGUAACUGGUCUGAGAGGAUGAUCAGUCACAAUGGAAAUGAGACACGGUCCAGACUCCUACGGGAGGCAGCAGUGGGGAAUAUUGGACAAUGGGCAAAAGACUGAUCCAGCCAUGCCGCGUGUGUGAAGAAGGUCUUCGGAUUGUAAAGCACUUUAAGUUGGGAGGAAGGGCAGUAAGUUAAUACCUUGCUGUUUUGACGUUACCGACAGAAUAAGCACCGGCUAACUUCGUGCCAGCCGCCGCCGUAAUAC
rnacentral:rRNA from 1 species